rnacentral:rRNA from 1 species
GUCUUAUUGAUUUUAAAUAAUAAGUUAAUUCUGCCCAUUGAAUUAAAUUUAAAAGGCUGCAGUAUAUUGACUGUACAAAGGUAGCAAAAUCAAUAGUUUUUUAAUUGAAAACUUGUAUGAAUGAAUUGAUAAAAUAUAAACUGUCUCAAAUUAAUUAUAUUUUAAAUUAAAUUUAAAGUUAAAAUGCUUAGAUAGAUUUAUUAGACGAUAAGACCCUAAGAAUUUAAAAUUAUUAAUUAAUAAAUUAUUAUAUAAAUUUAAUUUAUAAAUAAAGUAAUUUUUUAUUGGGAGGGUAAUUAAAUUUUAAAACUUUAAUUAAUAAAAACAUUGAUUAAUGAAUAUAAUGAUAAUUAUAAUAAUUAUAAGAAAUAAUUACCUUAGGGAUAACAGCGUAAUAAUUUUGGAUAGUUCAUAUUAAUAAAAUUGUUUGCGACCUCGAUGUUGAAUUAAAAUAAAAAUUAGGUGAAGAAGCUUAAAUUUYUAGUCUGUUCGACUAUUAAAAUUUUACA